rnacentral:rRNA from 1 species
CCUACGGGGGGCAGCAGUGGGGAAUAUUGGGCAAUGGGCGCAAGCCUGACCCAGCAACGCCGCGUGAAGGAAGAAGGCUUUCGGGUUGUAAAAUUCUUUUGACAGGGAAGAGUAGAAGACGGUACCUGUCGAAUAAGCCACGGCUAACUACGUGCCAGCAGCCGUGGUAAUACGUAGGUGGCCAGCGUUGUACGGAUUUACUGGGUGUAAAGGGCGUGUAGCCGGGUUGACAAGUCAGAUGUGAAAUCCUGCGGCUUAACCGCAGAACUGCAUUUGAAACUGUUGAUCUUGAGUACUGGUGAGGCAGACGGAAUUCCUAGUGUAGCGGUGAAAUGCGUAGAUAUUAGGAGGAACACCAGUGGCGAAGGCGACCUACUGGACGGUGACUGACGCUGAGGCUCGAAAGCGUGGGGAGCAAACAGGAUUAGAUACCCUAGUAGUC